rnacentral:rRNA from 1 species
GACGAACGCUGGCGGCGUGCUUAACACAUGCAAGUCGAACGGAAAGGCCCUGCUUUUGUGGGGUGCUCGAGUGGCGAACGGGUGAGUAACACGUGAGUAACCUGCCCUUGACUUUGGGAUAACUUCAGGAAACUGGGGCUAAUACCGGAUAGGAGCUCCUGCUGCAUGGUGGGGGUUGGAAAGUUUCGGCGGUUGGGGAUGGACUCGCGGCUUAUCAGCUUGUUGGUGGGGUAGUGGCUUACCAAGGCUUUGACGGGUAGCCGGCCUGAGAGGGUGACCGGCCACAUUGGGACUGAGAUACGGCCCAGACUCCUACGGGAGGCAGCAGUGGGGAAUAUGGCACAAUGGGCGGAAGCCAGAUGCAGCAACGCCGCGUGCGGGAUGACGGCCUUCGGGUUGUAAACCGCUUUCGCCUGUGACGAAGCGUGAGUGACGGUAAUGGGUAAAGAAGCACCGGCUAACUACGUG